UUGCCCCAUAAUCCCCAAUGCGGUAAAAACGUUUGAGAUCAAACAGCAAUGUUUUCUUUAACCCUCUAAAUAGUGUAAAAUGGCUAAAAUUGAUCGGAAAAUAUCAAAAUACAAGAACCAAAGCCAGAAAAAGGCCCUAAAUUAUAAAUAAGUGGACAUGUACAGUGCUUAAUGUCUCGAAAACUUGACCAAAUUCCAAAAAUUUCGAUCAGUGUUCUUACGAAAGAGUUCUAUGAAGAGUGCAAUAUUCAGAUUUCUCAUGAAACUGCGCGCCAAAACAUGCUACGACAUGAAUACAUAUGUAUCAAGAUGUGCUAUAAAAAAUAAUCGAAUGAUGUUGUGUCUUUCUAAUGAAAAUAAUGCCUUGUGUCGUACUCUAGUUAGCCAAUUGUUGAAAUAUAACAUCUUCUUGUUCUCGUCCCAUUAUAUGACAUCAUCCCAGUAGUUCCCAGGUUCAGAAAUAUACUUAAUAAUAGCAAACAAAAAACGUUUCUCUACAUUUGGUGCAUACAGCAUUUUUUUUUAUGGCAGAUCUUCGUGCAUGUUCAUGUCGUAGCAUGUUUUGUCGCGCAGUUUCAUGAGAAAUCUGAAUAUUGCACUCUUCCUAGAACUCUUUCGUAAGAACACUGAUCGAAAUUUUUGGAAUUUGGUCAAGUUUUCGAGACAUUAAGCACUGUACAUGUCCACUUAUUUAUAAUUUAGGGCCUUUUUCUGGCUUUGGUUCUUUAUUUUCCAUAUUUUCCGAUCAAUUUUAGCCAUUUUACACUAUUAAGAGGGUUAAAGAAAACAUUGCUGUUAGAUCUCAAACGUUUUUACCCCAUUGGGGAUUAUGGGGCAAUAGUUGGACCUCUUCAAACUAAACCCUUUGCAUGGAAUAUUAAAAAGACAAUAAUGGGUAAUUCAGAUAUGAAAAAAAGCAAAAAUUAAUCACCAACUAAUUGACAAAUUCAUUGUAAAUGCCUUUACGAAGAAUAGGUAACGGUGAAGUACGGUUAACUGUAUAACACGUGCUUAACAAGUCAAAUAAUCGAAGUGUGUAAAGUGUUUCUUGACACUAACAAAAUUGAACGAUUUUUGUUUUUUGUUGUUCUUGGUUGGUUUUUGCAUUGCUUUCGCAGCUUUUUUUGCAUCACAUCUCUUGAAAUACUGUAAGUAACCAUCCCUGAUUCAAAAAAUAUGUUGAACUGAAGUAAAAAGUAAAAAAUUUAGCUGCGGAAAGUGAGAAAGUGUAUUUAUUUUCUAUGUGUAAACUGUUUCUUGACAUACUGUAUAUAGAUUAUAUAGAUUAUUAGAUUAUUUGUAUAAAACCUUGAAAUUUAUUCAUUAAAAUCACCACUCAGAAGUCGUUUUAUCAGUUGUAACUGAGCGAUCAUCGAAGAAAAACAUUUCUAAUAUGCCACAAGACAAAAUUAGAAAUGAAGUUCAUAAACCUCACGUUGUCAGAUAAAACGAUAUACCUCCUCAUCGCGGGUGCUAAUACUUUCGAUUUGCAAAGAAAGUAAAUGAAGACUGACUACAGAAGUGAUUCUGUGAAGAAUAGUCUUUUAGCGUUUUCUUGUCUCAUUAAAAUUUUGAAUUUAUUCCACCCUGUCUCCGAGCUGUCAAAUUUGCGUGUUCUUUUCUCAAAAUUUGUUCAGGGUUGUUUGUUCUUUUCUCAAAAUGUUUCAACCUAACCCGAAAAACCUGUCACAAAUUCUACCCUGCCAAAACGUAAGAGUGAGAGUUUCAGCUGAUAUUUAUUUACAUUUUUAUUUGAGUUUAAUUUUUAAUAAAAUGAAUCGUGAGAUUUUGUUGUAUUCAAUUAUGGAAAUUGCGGAUGAACUGAUAAAUUCAUCAUCGUCUUCAUCAGAAAACGAAAUUGAGAUGGUAGAUGUUGAAAGAUACCUAGGAUAAAAAAUUUCGUUGAAGACGUAGUGAACGCCUAUUCGGAGGCAGAGUCGGGACGUUUAUCAUAAUCUGCUGACCAAAUAUAUGUCGAGUACGUGGCUUAUAAAAAGGAGCUACAAGGGAGGAAGAACCCCAACAACAGCCGAAACUCAAGUGCUUGCGUUUUUGUGGUUUUCUGCAAAUAAAAGCAGCUUCAGAGAAGUAGGCAAUCUAUUUAAUAUGGCUUUGUCCAAUUUUUUCAAAACAUUUAACGCGGUGUUAAACUUCAUAGUGAAAGAUGUCGCACCAGAAAUGAUAAGGUUCCCAAAAGAACCUUCGGAGAGGGAAGUUAUAGUUAGAGAGUUUGAAAAUGUAAUAAUGAUAGCUGGCUUUCCAAAUGUCUUGGGCUACAUGGAUGGAUGUUACAUCACAAGCCCAAACAUAAAAUACGCUCUACAUAUAUCAACAGGCACGAUUGUGUUUCAAUCACUCUCCAAGGUGUAUGUGAUGCAAAGUUACGUUUUUUGGGCGUAUUUACCGGGGUGCCUAGCAAAAUCCAUGAUGCUAGAGUUCUCAGAUUAUCUUUCAUUGGCAAAGAAUUGUAGAGCCUAUGUGCCCCAAAAUACUAUUUAUUGGGAGAUUCGGCAUAUCCUAUAAGGGAAUAUUUAUUAACACCAUACAGAGAUUAUGGUAAUUUGACAGAAUCCGAAAAGGUAUACAAAAAAAAUUUUGUCAGACGAGUUUGAAAAUUGAUGAUAACAUAUUCAUGGAAAGAGACGACAGGAGAGACCAACUUCUUUCACAAUUAGGUCAGAUAAAGCGUAACGAAGUUGAAGACCAGCUCUUCACUCCAAGAAAUGUAAAUUAACUUUUUUUUAACAUUCACCGGGCUGCCCAGCAAAAUCCAUGAUGCUAGAGUUCUCAGAUUAUCUUUCAUUGGCAAAGAAUUGUAGAGCCUAUGUGCCCCAAAAUACUAUUUAUUGGGAGAUUCGGCAUAUCCUAUAAGGGAAUAUUUAUUAACACCAUACAGAGAUUAUGGUAAUUUGACAGAAUCCGAAAAGGUAUACAAAAAAAAUUUUGUCAGACGAGUUUGAAAAUUGAUGAUAACAUAUUCAUGGAAAGAGACGACAGGAGAGACCAACUUCUUUCACAAUUAGGUCAGAUAAAGCGUAACGAAGUUGAAGACCAGCUCUUCACUCCAAGAAAUGUAAAUUAACUUUUUUUUAAUUUAAUUAACUAGCUUUCAUGGGCUCAAUUUCAGAAAAGUAUGUGGCGUAUUUGUCCAAGAGAAGACGUGUCUCAUUGUCUGGCCACACUGAAACAAAAACAUAUUAUAUACAUAUCCUACGCUGUGUUUUAAAUAUUUAUUUUGUAUCCUUUUGAAACAGGAAUUAUUAGCUUCCAUUAGAAAUUUUAUUAUCACUCGAAUUCUUUAUUAAUUCCAAAUUGGCGCAAAUUCACUAUUCUUCCCAAAUUGCCGCAAAAAGUCAAACAGCUGAUGGAUGACAGGGUGACACUUUUUUGGUUCUUUUGUGAUGCGAAAAGUGGAACUAUUUCACAGGGUGUAAUUGAUAAUUUUAAUAAUGUUGUCACAUAAUGAGGCAGGCCUUCUGAUCAAGAAAAGAAAACGCUAUUAACUUUUCAACGGCCAACGGAGAAUAUUUCAACCAAAAGUCACACAAAAUAGUUGAGAAUUCGCAGAAAUGAAACAGAAACGAAAGACAAAUAAUGCGCAAGCAUACAAUCAUACAUGUGCGCACACAUGUGAAUAUGUCACCAACCAAAAAUUUAAACAUUGUUCUACAAAAACAAGAAUUGCUCAAAAAGCAUAAGCAUGGCAAGUGUUUAUGUGUUUGUUCUCUGCUUUAACGCUAUACGCGUUAAACAAUUAUCCCUUUCCAAAGUCGUAUAAGAAGUAUAACUUCAACAAGUAAGAAAGGGCUAAGGUUGUGAAGCGAUUUGGCCUAUUUUCACAACAUAUCAUUGGGAUGUAAGGAAACUAUUACAAACCAGGUUUCAUUGAAAUCGGUCGAGUAGUUCCUGAGAUACGGUUUUUAACCCCAUAAGUGGGCGACGCACAGUGUGAGAUUUGGUCAAUCUAGCAUCUCGAAAUUAAAAAAAAAAAAUGUUUUCGUAACUCGCUCAUAUUUUUUUUUACGUGAGAAGAGACCCCAAUUGUUACGAAAACAAACACAAAAUAGAAUAAAAAAAUGUUAUUAGCGUGAUAACAGCUAUCAAACACAUACAAUUGCAUAGCAUGCUACAAUUGAUUUGCAAGCUUGCAUUGAUCACAAAAGUUUGAGUGAUCAGGUCGAAGUUGUGAGUGGUUAUUUUGGCCUAAAAUAUUUUUAGUAUUGAAGGUUAUUACUUAAACUUAAAAUUUUUGUUAUAUACAAUAUUUAUUUUUGCACUCAAGUAUUUUGAAAAAAUUGUUUUAUAACCACCUGAAAGGUAAGACAAAUUUUAAAGUUUUCAAAUAUUUGAUAGACUAGAACUUCCAAGUCCCAUGGAGUUCCGUGAUGGGAAUGCCAGCAUAAUCUUUGUUAAUGUGCCCAAAACAAAUUUAAAAAAUAAAAUCCUGCCCAUUUUUUGCCUUUUUUUAGUAUGAGUGAAAUAUCGCGAGAGGAGCUAUUUUGAAUUUGGUUGAACAAGGUGAAAAGCGACAAAACAGAAGCGGUCGAAAAGCACGUUAUAUCAAUUUUUGGACCAGAUGUUGACGAUACCAAAAUUAAAGAUCGUAUAAAAAAGCUUUGCUUCCAAUUUCAAUCGCGAUGGAGUAAAUCUCACCGUGAUUAAGCAAGAUUUAUGCAUGACAAUGCUAUUUGGCUAAGUUCAAAAAUUUCUGCUGUUGAUUUUGCUCUUGAUCACGCACCAUCAGCUCCAAAACAAAUACCUCAACGCGGAAGGCGAGAAAAAGAGUUUGCUGAAAGUGCUUCGAGUACACAAAAACGGAAAUGCAUAGAGUUAAUAUCAAAUGUAGCUUCGGAACAAUUAACUAUGGCUACCGCAAUGUAUCUGAGAUCCUGUAGAAAAAGAGACUCAGCAAAUAUUAAAAUCUUAUUUUGAAUAUUUUCCAUUCUUUUAAGAACUUUCGUUGGAUGUUUUAGUUUUCCCUUUUUAUUAUGUUUUAGAUAUCAAUAAAUUUAACA